GAUGAACGCUGACAGAAUGCUUAACACAUGCAAGUCUACUUGAUUCUACUUCGGUAGUUGAUGGUGGCGGACGGGUGAGUAACGCGUAAAGAAUCUGCCCUUUAGUUUGGGAUAACCUUUGGAAACGAAGGCUAAUACCGGAUAUUAUGGAGACGUCGCAUGGCGACUCCAUGAAAGCUAUAUGCGCUAGAGGAGGACUUUGCGUCCCAUUAGUUAGUUGGUGAGGUAAUGGCUCACCAAGACCGCGAGGGGUAGCCGGCCGGAGAGGGUGAGCGGCGACAAGGGAACGGAGAACCGAUCCUAACUCCUUAGGGAGGCAGCAGUGGGGAAUAUUGGACAAUGGGCCACAAGCCUGAUCCAGCAAUUCUGUGUGCACGAUGAAGGUCUUCGGAUUGUAAAGUGCUUUCAGUAGGGAAGAAAAAAAUGACGGUACCUACAGAAGAAGCGACGGCUAAAUAUGUGCCAGCAGCCGCCGUAACAC
rnacentral:rRNA from 1 species